GACGAACGCUGGCGGCGUGCUUAACACAUGCAAGUCGAACGGAAAGGCCCUGCUUUUGUGGGGUGCUCGAGUGGCGAACGGGUGAGUAACACGUGAGUAACCUGCCCUUGACUUUGGGAUAACUUCAGGAAACUGGGGCUAAUACCGGAUAGGAGCUCCUGCUGCAUGGUGGGGGUUGGAAAGUUUCGGCGGUUGGGGAUGGACUCGCGGCUUAUCAGCUUGUUGGUGGGGUAGUGGCUUACCAAGGCUUUGACGGGUAGCCGGCCUGAGAGGGUGACCGGCCACAUGGGGACUGAGAUACGGCCCAGACUCCUACGGGAGGCAGCAGUGGGGAAUAUUGCACAAUGGGCGGAAGCCUGAUGCAGCAACGCCGCGUGCGGGAUGACGGCCUUCGGGUUGUAAACCGCUUUCGCCUGUGACGAAGCGUGAGUGACGGUAAUGGGGAAAGAAGCACCGGCGAACUACGG
rnacentral:rRNA from 1 species